rnacentral:rRNA from 1 species
UACGGGGGGAGCAAGCGUUGUUCGGAUUUACUGGGCGUAAAGGGCGCGUGGGCGGUCAGCACAAGUCAGUUGUGAAAUCUCCGGGCUUAACUCGGAAAGGUCAACUGAUACUGUGCGACUAGAGUGCGGAAGGGGCAACUGGAAUUCUUGGUGUAGCGGUGAAAUGCGUAGAUAUCGGGAGGAACACCUGUGGCGAAGGCGGCCGACUGGGCCGACCCUGACGCUGAGGCGCGAAGGCGUGGGGAGCGAACGGG